GACCGUUGGUCCUCUUUGUUUGUUUCAUCCUCUUUUUCCUUUCACUUGAAAGGGGAGUUUGAUCUCUUUUUUAGAUUUUCCUUUCUCUUUGCUUGACUGGACUGUUUUUACAUAGCUCAGUAAUAAAAGAGUUAAAGAGCAGGAAAAACAAUGCCUUACAUCAGCUAUUCUCAGAAUUCUGCACAUCAUUUGAACAUGAUCGUCAUACCUGACUUCCCCAACUUUCACAGCAACACUAACUAUGGGAGAAAGCUGUCCUAGAAAUUAGCCUUUCUUGCAGAAGGGGAGGACUGCUGGUGUCAUUCAUGCCUUUCUCAGCUGAGCUCCUCCCAGGGAGGGUGUCAGCCCUAACCCCAGGACAUUGGCUUUCAAAUCACAUCACUCUUCAGCCCAUUCCUCAUUCAUAACCGAGCUUCAGAUCCCUCUCUCUGUGUGCACACACUAUGAUGGCCCUAAACAAUGACCAGGAUUUCUCAAGGUGCUCUUCAGUAUAAAUAUCCUGACCUGAGAGAGCUUGGAGCUCUGUUAUUGUGUUUGACACCAAGCCCCUCGAGAUCCAUCUCCAUGUUUAUUCCCAAGGUCCACUUUGCUUUCUUGCCUCAGCUCUGUUAUCUGUGUGUCUCUUGGCUUCACCCCUGGCUUUUAACUUGACUGAACCUCAUGUCUCCUGAUCAGCCCUUGCGCUUGGCUACAGUGUCUCCCCAGUUACAACCCUCGCUUGUUUUGCAUUAUGACCCUGGACUGUUGUUACCAGCAUCCUACAGGUCUACCAGUCAACCACGACCCAGGAAAUUCCAUGUGAGCUGUGACCUGUGGCUGACCUGAGAGCAGCCCCUGACACAUCAUGAUCCUCUGAUGAAACUGUCAAAUUCUUUCCUAGACUGUCUGCUGGUCGUCACCCAGUUGGAUCUGCUUCAACACCAUGACUGGAUAGUUGGUUUGUCAUGGAAAUAUAACUAUCAAGGAAGCCACAAGAGAGAAUUCUCACCUGACUCUCAGGUCCUAGGAUGCCUUCUGCAUGGAGUCUGGAUGUUCUCACUCUGAUCAAGAUUAAGAUUUUUCCUUGUGCUCCAGUUUCUUCCCACCUUCCAGCCCUGGGAUAAUCGAUGUUUCCAAGUCUCCAGUGUAUUAAAGUUCUCUAGACAUCUGGACUAGACUCUGGACCAGGAAUAAGAGAAUAAAGGACUUUCUGAUGAUGGAUGGACUCAAAUUUAUAUGAUACAAGAACACAACUCACAAUGCAUCUGACAAUUAGACAUGUCUAUUGUGGCAUUGGAGACUUCAGCCUUAGAUGUACUAUAAGUCUUAGUAAUAAUUAGUUCAAUACUGCACAUCGAUACAGUUUCUAGUCUAACAGAACAGCAGAAAAUGAAAAUUAAGUAUGAAUAAGAAAGAAGAACUGAAAGGAAGACAUUGGCAGUGGAGGGCUGGGAAAGAGCAGUUUGAUGUAGGUUUUGGUACAGCUGUGGACAAGACUUUGCACCACAUUAUUCUCACUGACACAACUCUUUGAUUUAAAAUUAGAAUUGGCAAAUGUCUUGAUUGAUACAGAAGAUGUACUGUAGUACUUUAUUGGACAAGUAAUCUGUGUAAAUUAAAUAAAUUUAUAUAGUGACACCUAAUGGCCUAAAGUGCUACUGCAGGCAGUGUCAACACAUUCAUUGUGCACCUUAUGCACCUGGAUGCACGUAUGUUGCCUUUGUGUGGUUGUUUCUUCCCUGGAGUUGAUCUCCCUAGUUAGACUCCUCACCUGGUCGCUGUUUGUAACCCUGUCAGCAGCAGAAGCACUAGUCCUCGGUACACUGGUUUGGUGGUGAGCAACAGUGUGACAGAGAGUAGGGGGUGAAGUUUAUUAUUAAUUGCAGAGCUAACAAAGCAACGUUAGUCAGCAGUGCUUUGCAUUGCUGUGAUUGCUUAUCUUUGGCUUCCUC